rnacentral:lncRNA from 1 species
GGACUAGGCAUUCUGCUUGCUAUAGCUCCUCUGAUCUGGUUAACAGAAAUUUCUGGAUCUGUGGUUUUAGGUGACCACUCACCAUGAGGACUCUCUACUUGAUUUAUAUGGUGCUUUUUUUGGUAUUUGUCUUUGCUGUAAAAGGAAUGGAGGAAGCUGGAGACUUUUUUCAAUGUCGGUUGGGGGGUGGUCGUUGUUUCUCUCAUUGUCCAAGACACUACGAGCAAUCUGGCUUCUGUACCAAUCGAUACAUGAAAUGCUGCGUUCGUUAGCAAAAAGAAACAGGAAAGUUCAAUGCUUCGAAACUGUGGUAUAGAAGAUUGAGAGUAUAAAAUAUGAGAGAAGUUGAACUACAUGGAAUAUGCUACACUUGUAUAAAUAAAGGAAAAGCCUUUUGGAGACUUGGUUUUCUA